UCUACAGGUGGGCUCCUGACUUGCUAUUUUUCAAUCUGUUUAACUUUCAAUUUCUUCACCUUGUUGCUUGGUUUUUCAUUUAUUCGCCCUGUGCUUCGGGCAGGCUCCUGAAAUCACAUCAAAACUAAAAAGAAAAUUAUCCCAAACAAAUAUUAUUAUAAAGAGGUUUUAUUUGCUAGAAAAGUUAAGUUUCAAAAACAGAAAUUGAAUUUUUGUCCCAGUUUAUCAUCAGAAGACUUUUGGAAAAGUUACAUCAUACAUAUUUGCAUGUUGGAAUAAUGAAUCAAGACUCUGACCAAGAAAUGCAUCUCUUGAGAGUACAAUUGAAUAAUCAAGACUAGGAAGUGCGUCUCUUAAGAAUUAAAGUGUGGGAUUCUAACUAGAAAGUGUGUCUUCUAGAGAUACAAUUUAAGUUAAAAGUGUGUUACCUGACAAAUGAAAACUAGCAAGGAAGUGCGUCUCCUAAGUAUUAAGUGAAAUAACUCGACUAGAAAGUGCAUUUUCUAGAAAUCAAGACUCAAGUUAGGAAGUGCAUCAUCUAAAAAUCAAAAUUCAAAAUACCCAAUGAAGGAAGUGCAUCUCCUUACCAAUGUUGCUUAAAUUAUCAAAACGAGGAAGUGCAUCACCUAAAAAUCAAAAUUUGAAAUACCCGAUCAAGGAAGUGUAUCUCCUUAUCAAUGUUGCUUGAAUUAUCAAAACAAGGAGGUGCAUCUCCUUACCAAUGCCGCUUGAAUUACUUAAACAAGGAAGUGCAUCUCCUCACAAAUGCUUCUUGAAUUAACCAAACAAGGAACUGCAUCUCCUUAGAAAUGUUUUCAUGAGUUAACCAAACAAGAAAGUUCUUCUCCUUACAAAUGUUGCUCGAAUUGCCUAAACAAGGAAGUGCAUCUCCUUAAAAAUGUUGCUUGAAUUAACCGAGCAAGGAAGUGCAUCUCCUUACCAACAUCGCUUGAAUUACCAAAAUAAGGAAGUGCGUCUCUGAACAAAUUUUGCUUGAAUUAACCAAUCAAGGAAGUGCGUCUUCUUACAAAUGUCGAUCGAAUUACCAAAUAAGGAAGUGCUUCUCUUAACAAAUGUCUUUUGAAUUACUCAAACAAGGAAGUGCAUCUCCUCACAAAUAUUUCUUGAAUUAACCAAAUAAAGGAAGUGCAUCUCCUCACAAAUAUUUCUUGAAUUAACCAAACAAGGAAGUGAAUCUCCUUACAAAUGUUGCUUGAAUUACCAAAAUAAGGAAGGGCGUCUCCUAACAAAUUUUGCUUGAAUUAACCAAUCAAAGAAGUGAAUCUCCUUACAAAUGUCGAUCGAAUUACCAAAUAAGGAAGUGAGUCUCCUAACAAAUGUCUUUUGAAUUAAUCAAACAAGGAAGUGCGUCUCCUCACAAAUGUUUCUUGAAUUAACCAAAUAAAGGAAGUGCAUCUCCUUACAAUUUUGCUUGAAUUUUCCAAACAAGGAAGUGCUUCUCCUUACCAACAUCGCUUGAAUUACAAAAACAAAGAAAUGUGUUUCCUAAUAUAUGUCUCUUGAAUUGCUCUAACAAGGAAGUUCAUCUCCUUACAAAUGUUGUUUGAAUUACCCAACCAAGGAAGUGUGUCUCCUUACAAGGAAGCAUGUCUCCUAGAAAUCUUUAAUUAUGAGUUUUACCAGGGCUUUGAAUACCAAAUAUGUGCAGAAAUAUUGUCUCUUUCAUUUGUGGAAGUGCGGUAUUGCAACUUUCGAUGUUUAGACUUUGAAAUCCUUGAUUUAAAGGUUACAUGUGUUCCUAUUUCAUAAAAGAAAACUUGUUAGUUUAAAAAUAUGGUGGCUGGUUUGCGGCUUUGGCUUUCGUGGAAAUUGCUCUUGCCCCAGUCGUAUUUAAUAUUGCUUUUAAACAUUAGCAUGUGUACUGUCUUGCUGUAUCAAUGACCCAAACUCAGAUUACUAAGAGUGACUCUGAAACAAAUAUAGUAUCCCUGGUUUGUCAUGCUUCUCAGAUAAACCCUCUGAACCUUGGUAUUUCCAUGAGUUCCCAGACUUGUCGGUUGACAAAACUUUCUGCAUUCCUUGUUUUGGCUCAGAAUGAUGUCUUUAGCAUGUGCUUACCCUUUUGUCUUGCUUUGUGCAAUUGAAGAAGCUGGUAGCCAGUUCUGAAAUAUUUCUCACUCAUUUUGACACAAACUUGACUCAAAGACAAGAGAAAAAAGACAAUGACUUUUAUUUGGACAAUUGACUUAAGAAAACAAAAUAAAAAUAAAGAGAAGAAAGAAAAGACAAUGAGUGUCUCCAUUUGAAACAAAGAAAUGAAAAUUUUUUCUAGAGAUGACAGUCAACUCUAAUGAUUAUGCCAUACAUUUUGGAUUAAGCUACCUAAUCUUUCCAUCCAAACUUUCUACCAAUUGUUGUUGAGUUAAUGGCGUUGAAACUGAGAUGCUCUCUUAGGACAAUUGCAUUCAGACCUCAUUUGACUAGUGACGCCUUGAAGGGUCUUUUCCUAAGCUCACCAUUGUCUUACGGUAUCUGUGAGGGUUUUUACUAAUGAAACUCUCUUAUUCUCAUUUCUCCUAACUCAUAAUCGUCUCACGGUGCCCGUGAGGGUUUUCACCAAUAAGACUCUCUCCUUUUUAUCUCUCUCAACUUACUAUCGCCUUACGGUGCCUGUGAGGAUUUUCACCAAUAAGACUCUCUCAUAUUUUAAUUCUCUCUAGAUUCCUUAUGCUGAGAAAGACAAGUAGUUUCCAAAAUGCGUCAUCAUAUCCAUUGCAUGCUUAGCUUUAACAUUCUCAAAGAUUGAUCUGAAGGUCUUUCUUUGGUUAUAACUUGGCUUUUGGAUAGGGUUAGAAAGAAAGGAUGGCAUGAGACCCAAACGACACUUUAAGUGGGUUAGAACUUACAACUUUUGGAAUCGACUCAAACAAAUGAGGAUUAACUCAUGCCCCAGUUUCUUUUGACCGGAUGAUUCUAAAUUAUUUAUUUGGUUGGACCAAGCCCUUGACACUCUUUUUUUGGAAACAUUUUUGUCUAUUUUUUGAAACUUUUUGACUUUAUCUUUUUACUAGACACUAUUCUUUGAACUUUGCUUACUCUAUCUUGAUUCCAAAAGAGAGGGGUAUGAAAGAAAAUAACACUAAGGCUCAAAUAGGAUAAACAAAGGAUGACUCAAUGUUUGGAUAGUAGAAUGAAAUGCCUUCAUCAUAUCAAUCCUUGAGAAUGCAAGUACAUAGCAUGCAAUUGGAAGUGAGAUAUGAAGAUCAUUUGCGAUAUCUUUUUAAGUAGAUUGAGUCUGUGGUCACUACUUCUUCUGUAAACUCCACAUUUGUUGUAUAUUCCUCACAUCAAAUGACUCAUACUUUCGUGGAGCUGCUUAUCUUCUUGUUUCUCUUGAUAUAGCGAUCACACAUCCACUAUUUGACCUAAUUGUGACUUGCCUUUCGAUCGAUGACCAAGUUGUUCUUGUGAUUCCCAAAAUAAUUGCCUUAACUUGUCACCAAAUGUCUCAGCACUCUAUCUAUUUUCUCAUAUGCUCUCUUUUUCUAACUUUAACCCUCUAAUUCAAUGUUCAUGCUUAAACUGGAUUUUAAGAUCUGGCUGAAAAUUUCACUAGCAUGCCAUAUCACUAGAGUUAACAAAAAAUGUACUAUGUAAAGAAAACAAAAAAAACAACACAUAUUUAAAACACAAAGUAAAAUAAGACACUUCAUUUAGUCAAAACAAAAGAUAAAAGGGAUUGAACAUAAACAACAAAAGGAGAAAACAAGACAGAUCCCGAACUACAACCCUGAAAUAAUUCGGAGAACAGAAAAUAAAACAAAACAAGCUACCAAACCCCUUCCUACUAAGGAGAGAGGUGACUUCUCAAUUGCUUAGCCUGACAUCUUAACCACUGGUUUGCAUAUCAGCAUGACUAGAGUUUUCCUCACUGUCAAUGUCUGCACCAUGAUUAAUUUAUCUUGAAUCAUCUUUUCAAUUUCUCUUUUCAAAGCACGAAAAUCUUCAAUACUGUGACCCUGAACAUUGGAAUGAUUUGUACAUCAUACAUUAGGAUCAAAACUUCUUGAAUGUGGGUCAGGAGUAUACCCAAGGAGAGGAGUGAUCAUGUCCUGCUGUACCAAUAUCUAGAAUAAACUUACAUAUGACUCUCCAAUGGGUGUGAAGCUAUCCCUCGACUUCUGUCUCAUUUCAUUAUUUGGCUUAAAUUGAAAACCAGGCCUAGAAGGGCUCAGCAGAGUUGGCGUGCACCAGUGUGGGUAAGAUGGGGUUUGAACAUAUGGUUGCGCAUUAUACACUUGAUAUGGAGAUGGGGGAAUGGAAUAUAAUGGAUUUUGGGAAGGAUUCUGUGGAACUUGGCCAUAAACAUGGGUUUGAGCCCAUGGGUAAUUAUGGUAUGGUCCUCUUGCCCAUGCAUGUUGUCCAACUAUAAUAGAAGAUGCAUCUUCCUCAUUCUUCUUUCCUCCAACACUUCCCAAACCUUUUUGAAUUGCUUGAGUAGUCGCUUUCAAUGUUGCAAAACUCGCAAUGUGACCGGUCUUAAUUCCAUCCUCUAUCAUCUCCCCCAUUUUGAGGACCUCAAUAAAUGGCUUGCCUAAUGUAGGUAACAAGUGUUGAUAAUAUGUUUCAUCUUGCACUUGAAUAAAAACCUCCACUAUCUUGCUUUGUUUCAUUGGCGAUUUUACUCUAGCAGCUUCUUCGCGCCAUCUGAUCGCAUACUCCCUGAAACUCUUAGUAUUCUUCAUUUUUAAACUAGUUAGGGAUUUUUCGUCGGGUCAACUCCACAUUGUAUUGAAAUUGUUGCACAAAUCCAUUAGCUAGGUCAUCCCAACUAAUCCACUUGUCAAUGUCUUGAUCAACAAACCAUUCCGAAGCUAGGCCUGAAAGACUCUCCCCGAAAUAAGCCAUUAGUAGUUCUUCCUUCCCUCUAGCGCCCCUUAGCUGGUUGCAAUAGCGUCUCAAAUGUGCUACAGGAUCACCAUGUCCAUCACACUUCUCAAACUUCGGCAUUUUAACACCAAGAGGAAGAUGUACACCUGGGAACAUGCACAGAUCUUUAUAUGAGACACUUUUGUACCCCCCAAGUCCUUGAAAUUUUUUCAUAGUCAGUUCCAAAGUUCUCAAUAUUUUGGCUAUUUUCUCUUGUUCUUCUGUCAUAACAGGAUACUCAGUGUUAGGAGGAAAUUCAAGCGGUUGAAGGCAAUCGUAAGGACCAGUCGACUUAAAUGUGGGCUCGGGAGUGUAAUGCUGAUCACUAAAAAUAUUCAAUACAGGGUCACUUGUAGAGUGAGGAAUCACAACCGUUGGAUUGACAUUAAAAGCAGGAGCUCCAGACGGGAUUGGGGCUGCAAAAGCAUGAAUAGAAGGCGGAGCCAAACAUGUGGUAAUUUUGUAUGGAGGAGUGAGGAAAUGACUAUUAGAAGUGUUUGGAUACUGUUUCCCCGGAGUAGGUCCUGAUGCAUGUUGUGGCAUGUCGACCAAAAUAGGAAAUUAUGCAUGUGACACUGGAGGCAAACUAAAAAGAUAUUCCAGAUUAUCAACGGGAAAUAGAGGUGGCGGCAACCCAUUAGCCCAAGCUCGAUGCAUUUCUAUCAUUUGUUGCCUCGAUUUCGUAAUCUCUUCAUUGGCUCCUAUAUUCUCAUUCCCCAAACUUCCCAUCUGAUUAGUGACAACAAACUCGGUAUCCUUGUUGGCCAUAACUUUCUCUGUGACUUGGAGUAAUAUGGAGGACCAGCCAAAAUGCCACAAACCAAUCACCUUAAACUAAGUGGACAAGAGAUAGCAAAUGCGUUAGAGUUCAACGAUUUUUCAAAACCUCUCCUUUUUUUUUUUCUUGAAAAAAAUCAGCGAACCCUAGAAGGGCGCCUAAGUAUCUAACCCCCGAAAGGGGAAAAUCAGGUGUGCGUAGUUUGUGAAGUUUUGCCAAAAUGGCCAAUUAAACUCUUUUUUCUUUCUUGAAACAACGUGCCAAAAGAAUUGACAAAUUUUUUUUUAAGGUUUAAAUCUCUAUACAAAAUGAAACUUGUGAUUACCAAAGAAAAAUCUUUUUGAAUUUUUUAUUUUUGAAUUUCAUGUGAAAAUGAAAGUUAAACCUAUUAAAAGAAAAUCUUUUUGUAGUUUUCUUUUAAAGACGUAUAUGAAAUGCCUACUCUAAAUGGAGAGUGAAGAAAUAUUUUUGGAUUUUUUAAAUAAGAUCCCCGAACAACCAAUAGGCUGCCACGUAUCUCACUCCGAAAAGAGGAGAAUCAGGCGUGCGUAGUUCGUCCAUAUUGGACAAAUAAAGAUUAACUAAUAGACUAACCCUAACUUAAGAGACACAACCAAUGACCAAUGAAUAAAAGAAAAUAAAAAAAAAUAAAAAUUGGGUUUUUAAUUUGACACCAACAACUAUGAAAGAAAAAUCUUUUUUUUUUUAAAUUUUCGAAUUAUGAAUGCAUGGUAAAGGAAUAAAAAGAUUUUUUUUUUUUGAUAUUUUCGUUAUAUGAAAUGUACAAAACUUCUAUCAUUUUUUUAUUAUAUUUUUUUUUUUGCAUUUUCCUUUAUAAAACCUCCUAUUAUAAAAACAAAUCUUUUUUAUGAAAUUUUUGAAUUGUGAAAAACAAAAGUCAUAAAUAACUCUAAAAACUACAAAACUCUUUUUUGGACUAAUUUUUUUCUUUUUCUUUUUUCUCUUUUUUUAUUUCACACACUUUACUUUCUAACACAUGCUUUACCCCACAUCAGUCUGUCAAACGACCACGUUAUCCUCAAAGAUGCAACAUUUAGCACGUAGGAAUACUUUAGAGGUAAGUCUCCUACAAAGGAGCAGGUGGACCCGCUAGGUCUCAAUAUGAUGCACAUAAGCAUGACCUAAAGGCUGACCUACGUUGGGGUUCACUAACAAGGACAUUCGGGUGAACAUAUGGUCGAUAGUUGCUACUUAGCUUUCCAUCUACUCCAUACAACCAACGGCUCUCCCCCAAAAAUAAAGGUGACUCAACUAAAGUUCGUGCGUACGACGUGCGCUCCGAGACUUGUUGCAGAAAGAAUUGACUCGGGUUAUGCAAAUGAUGCCAGAUAUAAAGCGGUAACACAUAAGGAAAUCUGUAAACAAAGAGCACAGAACCACACAACAAUGAUUACAAUAACACAAACAAUAAUCACAAACAAUGUUUAUACACCCAUAAUGCCAAACAAAGCUGAUACGACUUCAAAAAUAAGCCCAAAUUCUAAAAUGUCCCCAGUGGACUCGCCAGAGCUGUCACACCCCUUUUUUGGACUCCAGAAGAUUAAUUUUUAAGUUCGAAAGAGUUUUAUUAUUAAGUGACCAAAAAUGAAAAUUUUGUUCCGAAAAGGAAUUUUUUUAUAAUUAAAUUCAGAGCCGCCACUAGGCAUAAUCCGGUGUGCCAAGUCACCUUUGGAAAAUUCUUUUCGAAAUGGUUUGACUCUUUAAAACAGGUUUACGAACAGAGAUUCCGGCUAAGAAAUUUUGUUGACCGAGGGGAAGGUGUUUGGCACCCCUCGAUCCCGUGGUUUGACCACGGUCGCUUGGCGGAGCGUAUAGGCUAAUUUGACAUUAUGAAUAUAUAAACCACACAAAACAUGCAAAACAAUCAAUCAAGCAAACAAGAUAAAACAAUCCAAAAUUUAGUGUCCGGUCCAAUUAUACAGUCCAAAAAUAAAAAAAUAUGUAAAAAUAAAUCCUACUCUAAAUUAAUUCUAGACUAAUGCUCUACCCGACGCCUCGGGCCUUCAUCACGAACGUCCUCUAGGUACAUGAUACCUCGGGGCAUUCCCCGGUGAAUAAAUAUAUACAGAUACUUCGGGGCAUUCCCCGGCCAAAUUAUACAAUUGAUUCAAAAGUGAUAAAAUCAAACCAUUCAAUCAAAUUUCAAACAUUCAAUCAACCCCCAAUCUGUAGAUUUGCCUAUCCGACCUACGUCUUGCCUAUUCCAAUCGGCGUAUUUUGAUACUACCAAGUUCAAUUAACAUUUAUUUCUAGCCAAAAAACUAACGAAUCAAACUAAUCAAGACUCGCUAAUUAUAUCAAGUUUUCAAUUCUUGCCCCACUUAUUCUUAAUGAUUAAACCAAUUCUAUAUACAUUUCAUCAAUCAAGUUUUCAACUUCAAAUUCAACAUCAAACUAACAAACAACGAUGAAAUUUAAUCAUGUCAAACACACAAAUCAUUCAUAAUUAUGUGGGGAUUAAGAGGUAAAAGGAUAUAAUUGGACAUCAAGUGUUUUCGAUUGACUUAAAAGGAGAAGUAAGAGUCGGUCCGAGAGCCUCAACAGGUACCAAAUCUAGACUAUGAUCCAAUCCCAACACGGAUAUGUCCAGAAUACAAUUCGAACUCAAAAAUAGUGAACACCCAAAAUAAAAUACGAAUAAAACCGAGACUGGAAGACAAAAUUCACCUGUACUAAAAUGAAUCUCUCCAGAAUUAGAUUAAAAAUCACCAGAAUUAGACCCAAAACCGGCCAAGUCGACUAAUUCGAGUCAGGUACCACGGUCAAAAUCCACAGUUACCUUUCUGUCGGAACUCCGGUGAGCUCCAACGGUGACCAAAACAUGCAGAAAGAGAACACAACAACAUUUUUUGGUGAAAAGAUCCUAUUUCUUGGCCACGAAUGCCAAAACAGUUAAACCCCAAUCCCUUUUCUCUCCUCUCUUGCUUAGACUUCUCUCCUAUUCCAUUCACUCUAUCCCUUAUCGAUCGUCAUCUCCAUCCCUCUUCUCGAUUUUACUGUUUGCCCCUACGAUUCACCUCGCCUUUGACUAUUUUUCACCUUUUUUAUGUGAUUUUUUGUAUGGGUGUGCGUGUAUAUGGCUGUAUUUGAGAGAGUAAUGGUUAGUUGUGUGUGUGUUAUUCUGUGUGUAUGCGUGAUUUCCUUAUGUGAAGAAGGAAAGAAUGUUUUUGUUUUUGUGUCCCUCCCAGAGAGAGGAAAUAAUGGUAUUUGCCUCUUUUUCCCUCCCCCCCGAAAAAGGAAGUUCUUGGCAUAUAUAUGUUAGAAUGGAAAAAUAGGGAAUUAAUUUUUCUUUUGCUGUGGGGUUCGUGAAUUUUAUUCCUUGGGUUCUUUUUUGUGUGUUGAUGUGUGGGACAUGUGAGUGGGGUGAGGGGGUAGGGGUAGGGUAGGUGAGGGUAUGGGUAUGGGGUGGUGAGGUGUGAGGUGUCCACUUUUAAUUGGAUAGGUUGUUAGGAUAAGAUAUAUUAGUUAGAGGUAUUAUUUUUGUUUAUUUUUGUAUUUUUGUGGGAUAUAAUUACAUGGGGUUGGACACAUGGUAAGGUGAACUAAAAAUGAAUAAAAUUAGACUUCGGGAGGGACAAAAUUAGGUGUCUACAUCAUGGCCCCUUUGAAUGUAAACACGAAGUGUUUUCAGAUAAACAAGUAGACAGCGAGACCAAAUUAUGACCAGACAAUUAUUCAAAGAAAGAAAGAAGGACAACCGGGUCUUGACUUAAGAAAUCCUACCUACCCAAGUUAUGAGAGAAUCAAGUCACAGGUAUUUCAAAGGAUUGAAAAGAGAAGGACUAUGCCGAGUUGGAGAGUCGAGUGAGGUUCCAUCGAGGUUCCGGUCCGACGUUCUAUUACUACAUCAAAAAUGAAAAUUACAAGUUAAAAACAUAAAUGAAAUUACAAAAUCCUAUCUAUGCAGCUUCCUCUGGACUUUUGACUGGAGUUUCAUUACCCUAUUCUUCAGGCAGGCUCCUGACUUUCAAUUUCAUCAACUUGUUGUUUGGCUUUCAAUUGUUUCACCUCGUUGCUUAACUUUAAAUUUCCUCACCCUAUUCUUCAGGCGGGCUCCUGACUUGAUAUUUUUAAAUCUGCUAACUUUCAACUUUUCACGUUGUUGCUUUGUUUUCAACUUCUUCACCUUGUUGCUUGACUUUCAACUUCUUCACUUUGUUGCUUGACUUUUCAUUUCUUCACCCUAUUCUCCAGGUGGGUUCCUGACUUGUUAUUUUUCAAUCUGUUUAACUUUCAAUUUCUUCACCUUGUUGCUUGGUUUUCUAUUUAUUCGCCCUGUGCUUCGGGCAGGCUCCUGAAAUUAUAUCAAAGCUAAAGAGAAAAUUAUCCCAAACAAAUAUUAUUAUAAAGAGGUUUUAUUUGCCAAAAAAGUAAAGUUUCAAAAACAGAAAUUGAAUUUUUACCCCAGUUUAUCAUCAAAAGACUUUUGGAAAAGUCACAUCAGACCUACUUGCAUGUUGCAAUAAUGAAUCAAGACUCUAACCAAGAAAUUCAUCUCUUGAGAGUACAAUUGAAUAAGCAAGACUAGGAAGUGCGUCUCCUAAGAAUUAAAGCGAGGGAUUCUAACUAGAAAGUGUGUCUUCUAGAGAUACAAGUUUAAGUUAAAAGUGUGUCACCUGACAAAUGAAAACUAGCAAGGAAGUGUGUCUCCUCAGAAUUAAGUGCAAUAACUCGACUUGAAAGUGCAUUUUCUAGAAAUCAAGACUCAAGUUAGGAAGUGCAUCACCUAAAAAUCAAAAUUCGAAAUACGCAAUCAAGGAAGUGCAUCUCCUAGCCAAUGUUGCUUAAAUCAUCAAAAGGAGGAAGUGCAUCACCUAAAAAUCAAAAUUCGAAAUACCCAAUCAAGGAAGUUCAUCUCCUUACCAAUGUUGCUUGAAUUAUCAAAACAAGGAAGUGCAUCUCCUUACCAAUGACACUUGAAUUACUCAAACAAGGAAGUGCAUCUCCUCACAAAUGCUUCUUGAAUUAACCAAACAAGGAAGUGCAUCUCUUUAGUAAUGUUUUCAUGAAUUAACCAAACAAGAAAGUGCUUCUCCUUACAAAUAUUGAUCGAAUUGCGUAAACAAGAAAGUGCAUCUCCUUACAAAUGUUGCUUGAAUUAACCGAAUAAGGAAGUGCAUCUCCUUACCAACACCGCUUCAAUUACCAAAAUAAGGAAGUGCGUCUCCUAACAAAUUUUGCUUGAAUUAACCAAUCAAGAAAGUGCGUCUCCUUACAAAUGUCGAUCGAAUUACCAAAUAAAGAAGUGCGUCUCCUAACAAAUGUCUCUUGAAUUAAUCAAAGAAAGUGCAUCUCCUCACAAAUGUUUCUUGAAUUAACAAAAUAAAGGAAGUGCAUCUCCUUACAAUAUUGCUUGAAUUGUCCAAACAAGGAAGUGUGUUUCCUUACAAAUGUUGCUUGAAUUAACCAAACAAGGAAGUGCAUCUCCUAACAAAUGUCUCUUGAAUUAAUCAAAGAAAGUGCAUCUCCUCACAAAUGUUUCUUGAAUUAACCAAAUAAAGGAAGUGCAUCUCCUUACAAUAUUGCUUGAAUUGUCAAAACAAGGAAGUGCUUCGCCUUACCAACAUCGCUUGAAUUACAAAAACAUGGAAGUGUGUCUCCUAAUAAAUGUCUCUUGAAUUGCUGUAAUAAGGAAGUACAUCUCCUUACAAAUGUUGUUUGAAUUACCCAACCAAGGAAGUGUGUCUCCUUACAAGGAAGCGUGUCUCCUAGAAAUCUUUAAUUAUGAGUUUUACCAGGGCUUUGAAUACCAAGUAUGUGCAGAAAUAUUGUCUCCUUCAUUUAUGGAAAUGCGGUAUUGUAACUUUGGAUGUUUAGGCUUUGAAAUCCUUGAUUCGAAGGUAACAUGUGUUCCUAUUUCAUACAAAGAAAACUUGUUAGUUUAAAAACAUGGUGGCUGGUUUGCGACUUUGGCUUUCGUGGAAAUUGCUCUUGCCCCAGUCGUAUUUAAUCUUGAUUUCAACCAUUAGCAUAUGUCACUGGCUUGCUAUAUCAUUGACCUGAACUCAGAUUAUUAAGAGUGACUCUAAAACAAAUACAGUAUCCCUGCUUUGUCAUUCUUCUCAGAUAAACCCUUUGAACCUCGGUAUUUCCAUGAGUUCCCUGACUUGUCGGUUGACAAAACUUUCUGCAUUCCUUGUUUUGGAUCACAAUCAUGUCUUUAGCAUGUGUUCACCCUUUUGUCUUGCUUUGUGCAAUAGAAGAAGCUGGUAGCUAGUUUUGAAAUAUGUCUCACUUAUUUUGACAUGAACUUGACUCAAAGACAAAGACAAGAGAAAAAUGACAAGGACUUUUAUUUGGACAAUUGACUCAAGAAAACAAAAUAAAAAUAAAGAGAAGAAAGAAAAGAUAAUGAGUGCCCCAUUUGAAACAAAGAAAUGAAAAUUUUUUCUAGACAUGAUAGUCAACUCUAAUGAUUAUGCCAUUCAUUUUGGAUUAAGCUACCUGAUCUUUCCAUCAAAACUUUCUACCAAUUGUUGUUGAGAUAAUGGCCUUGGAACUAAGUUGCUCUCUUUGGCCAAUUGCAUUCAGACCUCAUUCGGCUAGUGACGCCAUGAAGGGUCUUUUCCUCAGCUCACCAUUGUCUUAUGGUGUCUGUGAGGGUUUUUACUAAUGAGACUCUCUUAUUCUGAUUUCUCCCAACUCACAAUCGUCUCACAGUGCCCGUGAGGGUUUUCACCAAUAAGACUCUCUCAUUUUUAUAUCUCUCAACUUACUAUCGCCUUACGGUGCCUGUGAGGGUUUUCACCAAUAAGACUGUGUCAUAUUUUAUUUCUCUAUUGAUUCCUUAUGCUGAGGAAGACAAGUAGUUCCCAAACUGCGUCAUCAUAUCCAUUGUAUGCUUAGACUUAACAUUCUUAAAGAUUGAUCUGAAGGUCUUGCUUUGGUUGUAACUUGGCUUUUGGAUAGGGUUAGAAAGAAAGGAUGGUAUGAGGCCCAAACGAUACUUGAAGUGGGUAAGAACAUACAACUUUUGGAAUCGACUCAAACAAAUGAGGAUUAACUUAUGCCCCAGUUUCUUUUGACCGGAUGAUUCUAAAUUGUUUAUUUGGUUUAACCGAGUCCUUAGUAGGGCAGCCUAUGUAUCUCACCCCCGAGAGAGGAGAAUAAGGUCAUGCGUAGUUCUGGCAGCUUGUCUUUUUGCUUUGAUCUAAUUUUUCAUUUUUUUUCUUUUAUUCGUUCUUUUCACUUUACGAUUUUUUUUUCUAACUCUAUUUUUCUUGACACUCUUUUUUUGGAAACAUUUUUGUCUCUUUUUUGUAACUUGUUGACUUUAUCUUUUUACUCGACACUAUUCUUUGAACUUUGCUUACUCUAUCUUGAUUCCAAAAGAGGGGUAUGAAAGAAAAUAACACUAAGGCUCAAAUAGGGUAAACAAAGGAUGACACAAUGUUUGGAUAGAAGAAUAAAAUGCCUUCAUCAUAUCAAUCCUUGAGAAUACAAGUACAUAACAUGCAAUUGGAAGUGAGAGAUGAAGAUCAUUUGCGACAUCUUUUUAAGCAGAUUGAGUCUGUGCAUCACUACUUCUUCUGUAAACUCCACCUUUUUGUACAUUCCUCACAUCAAAUGACUCAUACUUUCAUGGAGCUGCUUAUCCUCUUGUUUCUCUUGAUAUAGCGAUCACACGUCUACUAUUUGACCUAAUUGGGACUUGUCUUUCGAUCGAUGACCAAGUUAUUCUUGUGAUUCUCAAAAUAAUUGCCUUAACUUGUCACCAAAUNNNNNNNNNNNNNNNNNNNNNNNNNNNNNNNNNNNNNNNNNNNNNNNNNNNNNAAACAAACAACACAUAUUUAAAACACAAAGGAAAAUGAGACACUUCAUUUAGUCAAAACAAAAGAUAGAAGGAUUUGAACAUAAACAACAAAAGGACAAAAUAAGACAGAUCCCGAACUACAACCCUGAAAUAAUUCGGAGAACAGAAAAUAAAACAAAAUAAUCUACCAAACCCCUUCCUACUAAGGAGAGAGGUGACUUCUAAAUUGCUCAACCUGACAUCUUAGCCAUUGGUUUGCAUAUUAGCAUGACUAUAGUUUUGCUCACUGUCAAUCAUCUGCACCAUGAUUGAUUUAUCUUGAAUCAUCUUUUCAAUUUCUCUUUUCAAAGCACGAUAAUCUUCAAUACUGUGACCCUGAACAUCGGAAUGAUAUGUACAUCGUACAUUAGGAUCAACACUUAUUGAAUGUGGGUCAGGAGUAUACCCAAGGAGAGGAGUGAUAAUGCCCUGCUGUACCAAUCUCUGGAAUAAACUUGCAUACGACUCUCCAAUGGGUGUGAAGCUAUCCCUCGACUUCUGUCUCAUUUCAUUAUUUGGCUUAAAUUGAAAACCAGGCCUAGAAAAGCUUCGGUAUGUAUGUGGAGUUGGAGGAUAACUCGACAGAGUUGGCGCGCGCCUGUAUGGGUAAGAUAGGGGUUGAAUAUAUGGUUGCGCAUUAUAAACUUGAUAAGGAGAUGGGGGAAUGGAAUAUAAUGGAUUUUGGGAAGAAUUCUGUGGAACUUGGCCAUAAACUUGGGUUUGAGCCCGUGGGUAAAGAUGGUAUGGUCCUCUUGCCCGUGCCUGUUGUCCAACUAUAAUAGCAGAUGCAUCUUCCUCAUUCUUCUUUCCUCCAACACUUCCCGAACCUUUUUUAAUUGCUUGAGUAGUUGUUUUCAAUGUCGCAAAACUCACAAUGCGACCGAUCUUAAUUCUAUCCUCUACCAUCUCCCCCAUUUUAUGACCUCAAUAAAUGGAUUUCUUAAUGUAGGUAACAAGUGUUGAUAAUAUGUUUCAUCUUGCACUUGGAUAAACACCUCCACUAUCUUGCUUUUUUUCAUUGGCGGAUUACUCUAGCAUCUUGGUCGCGCCAUCUGAUCGCAUAGUCCCUGAAACUCUCAGUAUUCUUCUUUUUUAUGCCAGUUAGGGAUUUUUCGUCAGGUAUCAACUCCACAUUGAAUUGAAAUUGUUUCACAAAUCCAUUAGCUAGGUCAUCCCAACUAAUCCAUUUUUCAAUGUCUUGAUCAACAAACCAUUCCAAAGCUAGGCCUGAAAGACUCUCCCCGAAAUAAGCCAUGAGUAGUUCUUCCUUCCUUCUAGCACCCCUUAGCUAGUUGCAAUAGCGUCUCAAAUGUGCUAUAGCAUCAUCAUGUCCAUCAUACUUCUCAAACUUCAGCAUUUUAAAACCAAGAGGAAGAUGUACACCUGGAAACAUGUACAGAUCUUUAUAUCAGACACUUUUGUACCCCGCAAGUCUUUGCAAUUUUUUCAUAGUCAGUUCCAAACUUCUCAAUUUUUUGGCUAUUUUCUCUUGUUAUUCUGUCAUAAUAGGAUUCUCAGUGUUAGGAGGAAAUUCAGGCAGUUGAAGGCAAUCGUAAGGACCAGUCGACUUAAAUGUGGGCUCGGGAGCGUAAUGCUGAUCACUAAAAAUAUUCAAUACAGGGUCACUUGUAGUGUGAGGAAUCACAACCGUUAGAUUGACAUUAAAAGCAGGAGCUCCAGAAGGGAGUGGGGCUGCAAGAGCAUGAAUAGCAGGAGGAGCCGAGCAUGUGGUAAUUUUGUAUUGAGGAGUGAGAAAAUGAAUAUUGGAAGUGUUUGGAUACUGUUUCCCCGGAGUAGGUCCUGAUGCAUGUUGUGGCGUGUCGACCAAAAUAGGAAAUUGUACAUGUGACAAUGGAGGCAAACUAAAAAGAUAUUCCAGAUUAUCUACAGGAAAUAGAGGAGGCGGCAACCCAUUAGCCCAAGCUCGAUGCAUUUCUAUCAUUUGUUGCCUCAAUUUCCGAAUCUCUUCAUUAGCUCCUAUAUUCUCAUUCCUUAAACUCCCCAUCUGAUUAGUGAAAACAAACUUAGUAUCCUUGUUGGCCAUAACUUUCUCUGUGACUUGGAGCAAUAUGGAGGACCAGCCAAAAUGCCACAAACCAACCACCUUAAACUAACUGGACAAGAGAUAGCAAAUGCGUUAGAGUUCAACAAUUUUUCAAAACCUCUUCUUCUUUUUUUUUCUUGAAAAAAAUCAUCGAACCCUAGAAGGGUACCUACAUAUCUCACCUCCAAAAGGGGAGAAUCAGGUGUGCGUAGUUCGUGAAGUUUUGCCAAAAUGGCCAAUUAAACUCUUUUUUCUUUCUUGAAACGUGUCAAAAGAAUUGAUGAAUUUGUUUUUUUUUUACCAAAGAAAAAUCUUUUUGGGUUUUCGAUUUUUGAAUUUCAUGUGAAAAUGAAAGUUGAACCUAUUAAAGGAAAAUCUUUUUGUAGUUUUCUUUUAAAGACGUAUAUGAAAAGCCUACUCUAAAUGGAGAGUGAAGAAAUAUAUUUGGAUUUUCCAAAUAAGAUCCCCGAACCAAGAAUAGGCUGCCUACGUAUCUCACUUCCGAAAAAGGAGAAUCAGGGGUGCGUAGUUCGUCCAUAUUGGACAAAUAAAGAUUAACUAACAGACUGACCCUAACUUAAGAGACACAACCAAAGACCGAUGAAUAAAAGAAAAUAAAAAAAAUAGAAAUUGGGUUUUUAAUUUGACACCAACAACUAUGAAAGAAAAAACUUUUUUUUUUUUUUGAAAUUUUCGAAUUAUGAAUGCGUGGUAAACGAAUAAAAAGAUUUUUUUUUUUUUUUAUAUUUUCGUUAUAUGAAAUGUACAAAACUUCUACCAUUUUUUUAUUAUAUUUUUUUUGCAUUUUCCUUUAUAAAACCUCCUAUUGUAAAAACAAAUCUUUUUUUUUUGAAAUUUUUGAAUUGUGAAAAACAAAAAACAUAAAGAACUCUAAAAACUACAAAACUCUUUUACGGACUAAUUUUUUUCUUUUUCUUUUUUCUUUUUUCUUUUUUCUUUUUCACACCCUUUACUUUCUAACACAUGCUUUACCCCACAUCAGUCUGUCAAAUGACCACGUUAUCUUCAAAGGUGCAACAUUUAGCACGUAGGAAUGCUUUAGAGGUAAGUCUCCUACAAAGGACCAAGUGGACCCGCUAGGUCUCAAUAUGAUGCAUAUAAGCAUGACAUAAAGGCUGACCUACGUUGGGGUUCACUAACAAGGCCAUUCGGGGGAGCAUAUGGUCGAUAGUGGCUGCUUAGCUUUUCAUCUACUCCAUACAUCCAACGGCUCCCCCCCAAAAUAAAGGUGACUCAACUAAAGUUCGUGCGCACGACGUGCGCUCCGAGACUUGUUGCAGAAAGAAUUGACUCGGGUUAUGCAAAUGAUGUCCGAUAUAAAGCGGUAACACAUAAGGAAAACUGCAAACAAAGAGCACAGAAACACACAACAGUGAUAACAAUAACACAAACAAUAAUCACAAACAUUGUUUCUACACCCAUAAUGCAAAACAAAGCUGAUAUGACUCCGAAAAUAAGCCCAAAUUCUGAAACGUCCCAAGUGGAGUCGCCAGACCUGUCACACUCCUUUUUCGUACUCUAAAAGAUUAAUUUUUAAGUUUGAAAGGGUUUUAUUAUUAAGUAACAAAAAAUGAAAAUUCUGUUCCAAAAAGGAUUUUCUAUAAUUAAAUUCAGAGUCGCCACUUGGCAUAAUUCGGUGUGCCAAGUCACCUUUGGAAAAUUCUUUUCGAAAUGGUUUGACUCUUUAAAACUAGUUUGCAAAUAGAGAUUCAGGCUAAGAAAUUUUGUUGACCGAGGGGAAGGUGUUAGGCACCCCUCGAUCCCGUGGUUUGACCACGGUCGCUUGGUGGAGCGUAUAGGCUAAUUUGACAUUAUGAAUAUAUAAACCACACAAAACAUGCAAAACAAUCAAUCAAGCAAACAAGAUAAAACAAUCCAAAAUUUAGUGUCCAGUCCAAAAAUAAAAAAAUGUAUAAAAAUAAAUCCUACUCUAAAUUAAUUCUAGACUAAUGCUCUACCCGACGCAUCGGGCCUUCAUCACGAACGUCCUCCGGGUACAUGAUACCUCAGGGCAUUCCCCAGUGAAUAAAUAUAUACAGAUACUUCGUGGCAUUCCCCGGUCAAAUUAUACAAUUGAUUCAAAAGUGAUAAAAUCAAACCAUUCAAUCAAAUUUCAAACAUUCAAUCAACCCACAAUCUCUAGAUUUGCCUACCCGACCUAUGUCUUGCCUAUUCCAAUCGGCGUAUCCUGAUACUACCAAAUUCAAUUAACGUUUAUUUCAAGUCAAACAACUAAUGAAUCAAACUAAUUAAAAUUCACUAAUUAUAUCAAGUUUCAAUUCUCGCCCCACUUAUUCUUAAAGAUUAAACCAAUUCUAUACACAUUUCAUCAAUCAAGUUUUCAACUUCAGAUUCAACAUCAAAUCAACAAACAACGAUGAAAUUCAAUCAUGUCAAACACACAAAUCAUUCAUAACUAUGUAGAGAUUAAGAGGCGAAAGGAUAGAAUUGGACCUCAAGUGUUUUCGAUUGACUUAAAGGGAUAAGUAAGAGUCGUCCGAGAGCCUCAACGGGUACCAAAUCUCGACUAUGCUCCAACUCCAACACGGAUAUCUCCAGAAUCCAAUUCGAACUCAAAAAUAGUGAACACCCAAAAUAAAAUACGAACAAAACCGAGACUGGAAGACGAAAUUCACCAGGACUAAACUGAAUCUCUCCAGAAUUAGAUUGAACCUCACUGGAAUUAGACCCAAAACUGGUUAAGUUGACUGAUUCAAGUCAGGUACCAUGGUCAAAAUCCAUAGUUACCUCUCCGUCGGAACUCCGGUGAGCUCCAACAGUGACCGAAAUAAGCAGAAAGAGAACACAACAACAUUUUUUGGUGAAAAGAUGCUAUUUCUUGGCCUCGAACGCCGAAACAGUUAAACCCCAGUCCCUUUUCUCUCCUCUCUUGCUCAGACAUCUCUCCUAUUCCAUUCACUCUAUCCCCUGUCGAUCCUCAUCUCCAUCCCUCUUCUCGAUUUCAUUGUUCCCCCUGUGAUUCACCUCGCCUUUCACUGUUUUUCGCCCUUUUUUAUGUGAUUUUUUGUAUGGGUGUGCGUGUGUAUGACUGUAUUUGAGAGUGGAAUGGUGAGUUGUGUGUGUGUUAUUCUGUGUGUUUGUGUGAUUUCCUUUUGUGAAGAAGGAAGGAAGGUUUUUGUUUUUUGUCUCCCUCCCAGAGAGAGGAAAUAAUGGUAUUUGUCUCUUUUUCCCUCACCCCCCCCC
rnacentral:lncRNA from 1 species